rnacentral:rRNA from 1 species
GGCUUAACACAUGCAAGUCGAGGGGCAGCAUGGUCUUAGCUUGCUAAGGCCGAUGGCGACCGGCGCACGGGUGAGUAACACGUAUCCAACCUGCCGUCUACUCUUGGACAGCCUUCUGAAAGGAAGAUUAAUACAAGAUGGCAUCAUGAGUCCGCAUGUUCACAUGAUUAAAGGUAUUCCGGUAGACGAUGGGGAUGCGUUCCAUUAGAUAGUAGGCGGGGUAACGGCCCACCUAGUCUUCGAUGGAUAGGGGUUCUGAGAGGAAGGUCCCCCACAUUGGAACUGAGACACGGUCCAAACUCCUACGGGAGGCAGCAGUGAGGAAUAUUGGUCAAUGGGCGAGAGCCUGAACCAGCCAAGUAGCGUGAAGGAUGACUGCCCUAUGGGUUGUAAACUUCUUUUAUAAAGGAAUAAAGUCGGGUAUGGAUACCCGUUUGCAUGUACUUUAUGAAUAAGGAUCGGCUAACUCCGUGCCAGCAGCCGCGGUAAUACGGAGGAUCCGAGCGUUAUCCGGAUUUAUUGGGUUUAAAGGGAGCGUAGAUGGAUGUUUAAGUCAGUUGUGAAAGUUUGCGGCUCAACCGUAAAAUUGCAGUUGAUACUGGAUAUCUUGAGUGCAGUUGAGGCAGGCGGAAUUCGUGGUGUAGCGGUGAAAUGCUUAGAUAUCACGAAGAACUCCGAUUGCGAAGGCAGCCUGCUAAGCUGCAACUGACAUUGAGGCUCGAAAGUGUGGGUAUCAAACAGGAUUAGAUACCCUGGUAGUCCACACGGUAAACGAUGAAUACUCGCUGUUUGCGAUAUACAGCAAGCGGCCAAGCGAAAGCGUUAAGUAUUCCACCCUGGGGAGUACGCCGGCAACGGUGAAACUCAAAGGAAUUGACGGGGGCCCGCACAAGCGGAGGAACAUGUGGUUUAAUUCGAUGAUACGCGAGGAACCUUACCCGGGCUUAAAUUGCAGAUGAAUUACGGUGAAAGCCGUAAGCCGCAAGGCAUCUGUGAAGGUGCUGCAUGGUUGUCGUCAGCUCGUGCCGUGAGGUGUCGGCUUAAGUGCCAUAACGAGCGCAACCCUUGUUGUCAGUUAUUAACAGGUUCCGCUGAGGACUCUGACAAGACUGCCAUCGUAAGAUGUGAGGAAGGUGGGGAUGACGUCAAAUCAGCACGGCCCUUACGUCCGGGGCUACACACGUGUUACAAUGGGGGGGUACAGAGGGCCGCUACCACGCGAGUGGAUGCCAAUCCCAAAAACCUCUCUCAGUUCGGACUGGAGUCUGCAACCCGACUCCACGAAGCUGGAUUCGCUAGUAAUCGCGCAUCAGCCACGGCGCGGUGAAUACGUUCCCGGGCCUUGUACACACCGCCCGUCAAGCCAUGGGAGCCGGGGGUACCUGAAGUGCGUAACCGAGAGGAGCGCCCUAGGGUAAAACUGGUGACUGGGGCUAAGU